AUUCAAUUCAACAUGUUGAAUUUAACUUACACAGAUUUUUGACUACUAAAGCCUCAAAAAUCAAAAAGGCCAUGGCAGUUUUCCAGCACAGGUGUGGGGCCCUCUGCAGCUGGGGACAGACCUGCUCCUCACCAGAUUACCAGUAAAUGUCCAGUGCAGGCAGAAGAGAAUUUGGCAUAAUGGCGCUUGUGCUGUUUCCAUCGGGCCCAGCACUUUUAUCAAGCACGGUCCCCACACCCAUGACCCUGGAGCCUCAGCAACCAGCACUCCCCAGCCCAGCAGCACUCCACCCUACGUGAUGGUCCAUCAGCCAAGACGUGUUCCUCUAACAGCAUUUCAACCACCUGUGCCACGUCAACCACGUACAUACAUUAGGUGAGUGGAAGGCUGACACGUGCAGAAAGUGUGGUCAUUCUAGGACAUCAGCAACUGGACAUAGCCAGGACAUGGCCAGAAUUUAUUGUCCAGUGAUAGACGAUGACAAAAGAGCAGUUGCUCAAAAAAAUGAAGAAAAUAUAGAUAUGUUGCAUAUAGUGCUUGUAUUCUUACAAAGUUACAUGUAUAUUUUAUAUUUAAAUAUUUGAUGUUUAAAUCUGUUUUUUUUAAUAGUUUGAUAUA